GCUCUCUCUCUGCUCGGCGCAGAUCUCAACAUCACACCGCUGCGUGUAGCACCGACCGCGGAGGACCAAACCAAAUGUUUAGGGUGGUUCACCGUGUGAUCCAGGGUCAAAGGUCGGCUUAAAGAUGAACAUGAAGAACCUGAAACCUGGAGACAAAGCUGCAAAAACGUUCUGAUUUUAUACAACCCUUGUACAGCUCCUUGAUGUGCCCAGCAGAAAGUUUCUUCAAACACCAUACCGGUUCUGCACCUGAUCCAACAGACUGGAGGUCUUGUGUCAUUUUACACACAUUUUACUAAUAUCAAGUCUGACCUAUUUGGUGUCUUAGGUAACUGUGGAAUCUCUGCCAUAAUUUAAAAAAAGCCUUGCACAAAGUUUAACUGCUCGGCAUGAUUCAGUUAUUUUGUAAUGAAUGACUGGUUGAAGACUUCUUUAUGUAGAUUUAAACAAACAUGAGCUGUUAGCUGUAACUAAAGACACUUUCUUUAUCAAAUACGUUAUCGUUUACAAACAUCU